AGUGAACGCUGGCGGUAGGCCUAACACAUGCAAGUCGAACGGCAGCACAGUAAGAGCUUGCUCUUACGGGUGGCGAGUGGCGGACGGGUGAGGAAUACAUCGGAAUCUACUUUUUCGCGGGGGAUAACGUAGGGAAACUUACGCUAAUACCGCAUACGACCUACGGGUGAAAGCAGGGGAUCUUCGGACCUUGCGCGAUUGAAUGAGCCGAUGUCGGAUUAGCUAGUUGGCGGGGUAAAGGCCCACCAAGGCGACGAUCCGUAGCUGGUCUGAGAGGAUGAUCGGCCACACUGGAACUGAGACACGGUCCAGACUCCUACGGGAGGCAGCAGUGGGGAAUAUUGGACAAUGGGCGCAAGCCUGAUCCAGCCAUACCGCGUGGGUGAAGAAGGCCUUCGGGUUGUAAAGCCCUUUUGUUGGGAAAGAAAAGCAGCAGGUUAAUACCCCGCUGUUCUGACGGUACCCAAAGAAUAAGCACCGGCUAACUUCGUG
rnacentral:rRNA from 1 species